CUACGGGUUGCAGCAGUGGGGAAUAUUGGACAAUGGGGGAAACCCUGAUCCAGCAAUGCCGCGUGUGUGAAGAAGGCCUGCGGGUUGUAAAGCACUUUCGGUUGGGAGGACUGCUUCUAGCACUAAUAUUGUUGGAAGUUGACGUUACCUUCAGAAGAAGCACCGGCUAACUCCGUGCCAGCAGCCGCGGUAAUACGCGAGGGUGCAAGCGUUAAUCGGAAUUACUGGGCGUAAAGCGCGCGUAGGCGGCUAGAUCAGUCGGGUGUGAAAGCCCCGGGCUUAACCUGGGAACUGCAUCCGAUACUGUCUAGCUUGAGUACAGGAGAGGAGAGUGGAAUUCCACAUGUAGCGGUGAAAUGCGUAGAUAUGUGGAGGAACACCAAUGGCGAAGGCAGCUCUCUGGCCUGAUACUGACGCUGAGGUGCGAAAGCGUGGGGAGCAAACAGGAUUAGAUACCCGGGUAGUC
rnacentral:rRNA from 1 species